GGCAGUGUAGCAUAGCGGUAAGGCGCGGCUCAUAACCGAAAGGUUGCUGGUUCAACUCCCCACAGGGGCA